UUCACUGCUAUAUUCAUGUGUCUGUGGUUUUCAGUAGGUGACUCCAUGGAAGAUUCAAUAGAGGCACUUUUCACCCAAAAGUUUGUAGAUGAAGGUGACAAUGUUACUCUGUCCUGCAAAUACAAAAAAAUUGGUACAUCAAACUACCUGUACUGGUACAGGCAAUAUCCAACAUCUGAACCUGAGUUCCUUCUUAAUAUUCUUCAAAGUGGAGAUGUAAUUUCCAACACUGACCCUAGAAUGUCUGCUAAAAUUGAUGAUAAACAAGUGGAUCUGAUCAUCUCCUCUGCUGCUGUAUCAGACUCUGCACUAUACUACUGUGCUCUGACGCCCACAGUGACAGGAAAUCCAGCUGCACUGUACAAAAACUUUCACACAGUUUAACUACACUGAAGGCAAAUAUACUACUGUUUUUUCCUCUUUUAGCUGAUCCCAUUAGGGUUGGUUUAGCUGAUCCAGUGGCUG